rnacentral:lncRNA from 1 species
UAAGGGGCCUCGCUCCCUCGGGAGCUGUUCGCGCCCCCCUGCUGCAACCCCGGCCCGGCGCCGCCCGCGCCCCGCACUUCCUUCGCGACCCCCGAGCCGGUGGCCUUGCCCCCCACCUCGUGUGUGGCCGCCUAGCAUCCUGAGAGGCCGGCACCGGCGUCCUGGCGCCUCCGCUUUCACCUCUGGGGCGCCGCGGCCGCCUCCGAACCGCAUUGCGCGGAUCCUCAUACCUCCAGGGUGGGGUGUAGGACAAAGGGACCGGACGGCUCGGAUGGGCGCCUUGUCUGCGUCGUCGCACUAGGAGCACGUCCAAGCCACCCCCCCGCCCAACCGGGAAAAUGAGCUGUUUUCCCAAUCGCGAAACAUUCCCCCACUCCGCUUUCCCAACCACCAACAAAAUUUAUCCCUGAGAGCGAUUUUGAGGAGUGUCUUGACCUCAUCCAUCGAAGGAUGACAGUGGCUACACAAUGACAUUGUUUUACUCAAAAGAUGUGUUAUCCGCGUGUUUCACCGCAGGAAAACAAACAGCUACUGGCUUGAGAGUUGUCGAGUGGGUGUUGUUGACCGAAGGGGACUGAGGCGUAGCAUUGGCCCUAGGUGUCCCAAAUGAGAUUAUUUGAAACCAGAAGCAGAUGUCUUCAUCAAACACGAAGUGCUAAAGAUUUCAGCAAAAACAGACGGAGUUUUCCUUGGGUAAAGAUCUCAGAAACAAGCCCAUCUUUCCAAGAACCGGAAUUGCAAAAUAAUCCAGCUGCCCUGUCAUGAGAAUGCUCAGCCAGGCUUGUGGAGGAACCUUCUUGCAGAGGAACCAACUGGCCAGCACCAGUUUGCCAACACAUGAGUGACACUGGGCGCAGACCUUCCAGCAAGAAUGGUGGCACACACCUGUAAUCCCAGCACUCUGAGAGGCUGAGGCAGGAGGACUGCAAGUUUGAGCCCAGCCUGGGCAAUUUAGUGACCUAGGAAGACCCUGAGAC